GACGAACGCUGGCGGCGUGCUUAACACAUGCAAGUCGAACGGAAAGGCCCUGCUUUUGUGGGGUGCUCGAGUGGCGAACGGGUGAGUAACACGUGAGUAACCUGCCCUUGACUUUGGGAUAACUUCAGGAAACUGGGGCUAAUACCGGAUAGUAGCUCCUGCUGCAUGGUGGGGGUUGGAAAGUUUCGGCGGUUGGGGAUGGACUCGCGGCUUAUCAGCUUGUUGGUGGGGUAGUGGCUUACCAAGGCUUUGACGGGUAGCCGGCCUGAGAGGGUGACCGGCCACAUUGGGACUGAGAUGCGGCCCAGACUCCUACGGGAGGCAGCAGUGGGGAAUAUUGCACAAUGGGCGGAAGCCUGAUGCAGCAACGCCGCGUGCGGGAUGACGGCCUUCGGGUUGUAAACCGCUUUCGCCUGUGACGAAGCGUGAGUGACGGUAAUGGGUAAAGAAGCACCGGCUAACUACGUG
rnacentral:rRNA from 1 species